rnacentral:rRNA from 1 species
AUUGAACGCUGGCGGCAGGCUUAACACAUGCAAGUCGAGCGGAGCGGCAGACGGGUGAGUAUUGCCUAGGAAUCUGCCUGGUAGUGGGGGAUAACGACAGCAAACGGGAGCUAAUACCGCAUACUAUCAGACGAGCAUAGGCCGGAUUAGCUAGUUGGUGGGGUGAAGGCCUACCAAGGCGACGAUCCGUAACUGGUCUGAUCGGAUUGUCAGUCAAACUGGAACUGGGACACGGUCCAGAAUCCUACGGGAGGCAGCAGUGGGGAAUAUUGGACAAGGGGCGAAAGGCUGAUCCAGCCAUGCCGCGUGUGUGAAGGAGGUCUUCGGAUUGGAAAGCACUUUAAGUUGGGAGGCGUUACCAGCAGAAUAAGCACCGGCUAACUUCGUGCCAGCAGCCGCGGUAAUUC